AUGACUUGCAGCCAUGGCGAUUGCUCGGAAGAGGAUGCAGAGCGGACAGAAGUAGCUAGAACUGAGCCCUGCUCUUCCACAGAACUAAGGGGCUUUGUUGCCCAGGGAAGACAAGAAACCAAGAGCCUGAGGCCCAGGACUCGAGAGCAGGUGGACAGAAGCCGGCCCAGAGCCAUUGUCCUGUGCACUAGGCUCCCUCUGCAUCACUCUGCGGGGCUGAUGACACCAACCGGGCCUCUCCUUGUCACAGGAAACUGUCCCCUUGCCCCUCAACAAAAUGAGACAGAAAAAGACAGAAACAGAGAUGGAGACAUAGCAUGCUGGGAACCUGUGCUCAUUUCAUGCCACGGCAUGCAGACCUUUGAGGAGCAGAAUCCUUGUAAGUUUCACCUGUGGGAGCACAAGACCGCAAGCAACCAAGCAAAUAAGCAAGCAAGCAAGAAAAAAGAAAGAAAACAAGAAAAAAAAAAAUCCCUGCCCAGAACUUUGAAUCUAAAGCAUUUAAACCAUUUGGAAAACAACAUCACAUUUGCAGUAUUGUAUUAAUUCCAGUUAGUAAAUUAAAAAAAAUAUAUAUAUAUAUUCUCCCCAGUGGUAACGGUGUAGUAACUAAAGAUGAGCAGGCUGGGCUGCGGUGCAGCUCGGGGAGACUGCUUGCCUCCCAUGCCCAAGUCCCUGGUUUCCAUUCCUAGCAUGGAAUGAAUAAAUAAAAUACAUUUUUAAAAAUUAGCAAGUGUAUUCAUGAGGUGAACACAGUGCUGACUGUGGCUACUGUGAAGAG
rnacentral:lncRNA from 1 species